rnacentral:lncRNA from 1 species
CCUUUUCUAGGUGAUUCUGUGUAUGCGAUAGAUGGUAUUCUUAAAUGCAAAUAUAAGUGGAGUAAAUUUCCGAAUCUUCAAGUGGAAAGAAAAGCUUUAGGAGAAGAGGAAUGAAAAAGGGCUGAUUUCUGCUUCAGGUUUAAGAUGAAUUAGGCACUCAAAAUAGCAACAAAUAUAAGUGGAGUAAAUUGCUUACAUUAUACUUUUAACAAACAUCAAAUGUGCUAGCAAGGCACAAAGUACAUGAAGUAAAAACUGCUAGUUCAACCAAAAUUCACUGGCUGCACUAAACUAAUUAAUCAAAUUCAAAUAUACAACAUGCCUCUACUUAACACAACAUAACCAUUUCACCAUAAAUUACUAAUCAAGCCGUGUCUAUCUCCUUCAUUUUUCCUUCGGUAGGUGAUUUUUCAUGGCGGACCGUCACGUUCACAUUCAUAGAAAUCAGAUCUCUUCUUUGUUAUUUAGCUGAACUUGAGAUUGGAACGUUCGUGACAUAUCGUCAACUGCUUCGUGGAGGGCUGGUUU